rnacentral:tRNA from 1 species
AAAAUAAAGCGAUAUAUAAUUGCAAUCAGUUUCGACCUGAUUUUAGACGAAAUCUAUUUUU